UCAUCUAUAUCAGGAGUUCUCAACCUUUGUCUUUCUGAGGCCCCUCAACAUGAUAUAAAAAUUCCAUGGUCCACCUGUGCCACAAUUGUUUUUCUCCAUAUCCAAUAGAAUAAAAGCCAGAGCUGGCAUUAGGGGGUGGCAA